rnacentral:rRNA from 1 species
UACGUAUGGUGCAAGCGUUAUCCGGAAUUAUUGGGUGUAAAGGGUGCGUAGACGGGAUAACAAGUUGGUUGUGAAACCCCUCGGCUCAACUGAGGAACUGCAACCAAAACUAUUAUUCUUGAGUGCAGGAGAGGAAAGUGGAAUUCCUAGUGUAGCGGUGAAAUGCGUAGAUAUUAGGAGGAACACCAGUGGCGAAGGCGGUCUGCUGGACAGCAACUGACGCUGAGGCGCGAAAGCGUGGGGAGCAAACAGG